rnacentral:rRNA from 1 species
AGUGAACGCUGGCGGCGUGCUUAACACAUGCAAGUCGAACGAGAACGGGUUAUAGCUUGCUAUAAUUGUCAGCUAAGUGGCGCACGGGUGAGUAAUGUAUAGGUAAUAUGCCUCUUACUAAGGGAUAACAAAUGGAAACGUUUGCUAAUACCUUAUACUCCUUAUUAACAGAAGUUAAUAAGGGAAAGAUUUAUUGGUAAGAGAUUAGCCUGUAUUGUAUCAGUUAGUUGGUGGGGUAAUGGCCUACCAAGACUAUGACACAUAACUGGUUUGAGAUGAUGAUCAGUCACACUGGAACUGAGACACGGUCCAGCCUCCUACGGGAGGCAGCAGUGGGGAAUAUUGCACAAUGGACGAAAGUCUGAUGCAGCAACGCCGCGUGGAGGAUGACACAUUUCGGUGCGUAAACUCCUUUUAUAUGAGAAGAUAAUGACGGUAUUAUAUGAAUAAGCACCGGCUAACUCCGUGCCAGCAGCCGCAGUAA